AAACAGGGCCUGGAAAAAACCCAGAUCGUGGCAGAGAACAGAGUAACUCAUUACAGGAGUGAGCUGUAACUCCAAAACCUGCCGUUUCCACUGCCGUGACAGCUAGCAGCCAAUCAGAUGCUGCAGUCACAGUUUUUACCUUAUAAGGUAUGUUUGUCUGUUGGUGUUGGGUUAUAAAAGGGGCUACGACCCCAACAAACUUGUCUCAGCUUCACCCCCCUGAGUCUGUGCCUCAAUACACCACAGGAUGACAGUGAUUUUUCACAUCUAAAGCUGCAUGAAGUUAACACAAUAGAUAUAAGUGAAAGGGCACGGAAAAGGGAAAAAUUUGUUGCACCAAAAUUGUAAUUGACAUAAAAAUUGACAUGUUAUCAGAUAGAAGAAUCCAUAUAAGCAAGACUUCAUACCUCCCUCAGCUGAGAAAAACCUCAAAAACUGUAGGUCAAACAUCAAGAUGAUCUAAGGACUGGAGCAGAAAAUACAAGUCUACCAGACUUUUCAUUCAGGAAUGUAAAAUUCACCAAAGCCUAAAAACCUGUCUGCAUGUGGAAAUGGCUCAGAUCCUACACCAGUUUUCCUUUCGUGAGGCUGAUAUUCAUGAUGCUACUUAAGAUACAUUUAUUAGUGGGAUUUUAUUUUAGGUAGCUGAGGAAUGAAUACUGUCUGUGUGUUCACCAAAACAGAGUAAUUCUUGGACCUGUUUGCUUAAGCUCUCUUACAAUACAAAGUUGUUCUCAUGUCAAAUGGCUACUUUCUGUCAUAGUCAAAUUCCACAACUAGCCAAACCAUUACUGAGGAAUUCGUUCUGAUUUCAUGUUCUUAAGAAAUUAUCUCAUUUCCAAAACUCAUAUUAAAUGUAGUAUCACUGGUAUAUAAACAAGAUAACAAGACUUAACACUCCACUGGAAAAAAAAACACCAAAAUGUUUCCCCAAAUGAGUGGAAAUCUGCAAUGAAAAAAAUAUGUAAAGUUUCUAAAAGAUCAAUGUGCUUAAUUCUAAAAAAGCAUGGCGUUACACCUAAAACAAACAAUUGGCUCUUUAGGUAUAUAAUCACUGACACAAAAAAGCUCAUCAACAGCAUUAGUCUGAGACUAUAAAUUUACUUUCUAGUCUACAGGUAACAAUAAGCAAGCAUCUAUACUUAUGUCCCAUGUAGUUUUAAUAUCACAGAAUACGCUGAGUUGUAAGGGACCAUGUCCAGCCCUUAGCCCUACACAGGACCAUCCCGAGGAGUCACACCAUGUGCCUGAGAGUAUCAUCCAAAAGCUUUUUGAACUCUGUCAGGCUUGGUGCUGUGACCACUUCCCUGGGCAGCCUGUUCCAGUGCCCAACCACCCUCUUGGAUGAAGAACCUUUUUCUAAUAUUCACCCUAAACCUCCCCUGACAACUAUGAUCAUUAAAUGGAUGCAAAUUGUUACCGUUUUAUCCCUGAGUCGUUCUCCAUGGAUAAGAAAAUCAGCACAGCUAUUCUCUUCCUGGGGAAUGACUUUGAAGACUGUGACACAGCUUAGUCCACCCCCUCCAAGUGGUAACCAUCCACCACUUGAGUCAUCCCGGGUCAUCACCACAGCUCGCACUCGUGCAUAACUAUUACUGAAAGAGAUGCAAAAGAAGAAAUUAGUUUUUCAAAAACAGAAAACAGCAAAGUCUAGUUAAAAACAAAACAAAACAACAAACCCAUAACCAAGGUCACAAUAAUUAACACUGUCUUUCCACAACUGUCAUUCUAGAAGAAACCCAUAGACCACACUCUAAAAAAUGUUUCUCUGUACUUUUAUGACUUCAUUAGGACUUUUUGGAGCUUACAUGUAAUUUCUUGUAAAGAAACUAAACCAGAGAAUAUAGUUCCCAAGUCAAAACUGAUAUCCUUCUAAAAACUUCACAGUCAGUAAUCUAGCUAGAGGGUCAGGAAGAGAGUAAGAAUCAACUCCCGAUUUAUUUUAGACUAAUCAUGAAGCCAGUCAGUCACCAUGAAAUUGCAUAGAAAAGAGAACAAGAAAGCAGAAAGAGGUCAGGCCUUCUGUCACUGAAAUCUAAACACGAACAGGCUUCUAGCCAGAAAACCCUGCUUCCCUUCAUCCAUCCCUCCUCCCCACACACAUAACCUGUCCUUUGCAAGGGUAGGUUGGGACAUGCACAUUGUGGGGUUCAACAACGGAACCAGUUACAGAUACUUAAAAUCACUAUUUGCAGUAUCUACUAGCUGGUUCUCUCCUGUAGUGAAAGCAUUUCACAACUGAACAGCUUUUUCCCAUCAUUUAACAUUUUUAUAAAACACACAAAUGAUUAUCAUGUCAUUACUUAGGAGCCAAAUCGCUUUUUCAGAAAGGAAAAAGAGGUUUUGGUGAUCUCUCUCUCCUUUUAUUUAUUCCUUUUAAAUUAAAUAACAAGUUUUAAUUUUGAUUAUGAAUUUGCCAGUGUAUCAGUUGGAAAACCCCAUGGUUUACCAAGGAUGUAUGUAAGAUCCUAUAUUCGAAAUAUGGUUUACUGCAUGAAUGUAACAGUUGAUGAAUGAAUAUUCAAACACCUUAAAUAUGAUUCAUGUUAUCUUUUGCAACAUAUUCUGGAUUGAGGGUUUAAGUACUUAUGCCAGCUGGCAUUAGUGAUGUCAAAUUUAAGGGCUGAAAAGGAAAUAUUAGAAGAGGACAAAGUUAUUCUUUCUGUACAAAAUUACUUGUGAUAAAACCAUUCACCAAGCUACUGUACUUUUAAAAGAUCACUGCUUUAUUUUUUUCCCCCAGCUAUACUAAAAUAACCAAGGUAGGCUUUUUUCUGUAAUUAAUAUAUUACAUUCUCACACACACAUAUGAUUCACACAUAUGAUUCAUCUGUGUGUGUAUAUAUAUAUGUGCAUAUAAAAAGGAAUUCUGCUGCAAGCAUCUAAGCUUAAAUACAUAAUGGUUUGCAAAACGGAAAAUAAAACAAGAUUAUAAAUCUUUAGCUUACAGGCAGCUGAAUUUGUUAAUAGAUUUUGUUUGCCCCCUCCAAGCAAAUCCCAGCCCCCUCCUCUCUCUAAAAAUCACAGUUAAAAUGACAGUUCAGUCAGUGUUUCUCACCAUUUCUGUACCAACUUCAGUAACUACUCAAACACAGCAGACAAAUAUCAUGAAGAAAAAUCCAAUCCUUCUUUGUAUGCAUCUAUCGCAAUUCUAAUAUCGGUGAAAAUGGCUACAUCUUGAUGCUUAAUACUGCUACUGAAAGUUGAAUCAUUCAUUCAUUGGUCUCUAUCACCCUAUUCAAUACAGGUUCAAAUUGUAGUUGUACACUUCAGACACAGGUAGUCUUUCGUCUCAUUUCUCUCAGAAGAGCCUCUUCUGACAGAAACUGAGGACACCAGGACUUUUCUCUGAAAAAGUAAGAAACAGGAUGCACCAACUGGUUAAGCCUACACACUGUUUUUGCUAUUGUCCAUUUAAGUGAAACACAAAUUUAGCUCUGAAGUUAUUAAUUCUAUAAAUUUGGUUGUAAAUCUGAAUAUUAGAGCUUUCUUUUGUAUAUCAACAGACUGCAGCAAGAGUUCAGUUAAACAUUAUUUAGGGAUAUCACAGAACUUCCCUUAGGCUACAUAAGAAAACUUAAACUAUAACAUAUUAAUUUUACCUAAAAUGAAACUUUACACUCCACAUUAAUUUUCUUUCCAAGAAUUGCUAAGAAGAUGUAAAGAUGGAGGUUUCUUUAUCAUACCCUGUCAGUGUUGGGGUUUCCCCCCCUCCCUAUAAUGAGAUGUCUAGUCUAAUUAACAAUCUUGUGUUUUGCUUCCCAUAUAUUCCAAGUGGUUUUAAACAUUUAUGCUUUCAAAUAUUUUGGAAAUGGCUACCAAAUCCACUGCAUUAGUGCAAGAGCCAAAAUAAAAUUACCCAACAGGUAAUAUUUAAUGAAUAACCUCUUAAAUUGAAAUAGUUUUUCCAUACAACCUCCCCGUAAAUUAAAUAGAUAAAUUCAUUACUUUACUUGCAACAAUGCCAAAGACUACAAAGAGAUUUUUUAGUUUUUUAGUUUCUGUUGGUGGCUGUUUUUUAACAUUAUUUUUUAUAUUUGAAUGGAACUCACAAUUGGUAACAAAUGCUAUUUUUAGUGACAAUACAACUGGUUUGCAAUUAGCCAAAAUGCAGUGGCAGGACUUACAAAUGAUUUCCAUUUCCAAAAUCCUCUGUAAACAAAACAGCAUCUGCCCGUCUCAGUACUGGUGUCACCAAAAGCACUCAGAUGUCUUUUAUCUGUAAAUACUAUAACCCCACCUACUCCUGGGAACUUCAGAACAAAUUGCUGAACUGCUGGUCUAGCUUAGCUGUGGGAAAAAGGGCAGACAAGGCUCCAGUGUUUUGCUAACACAGUCUAACGUUUUUACUUCCUCCUGCAUGUUUAGUAGCUCUAUCAGGAAUACCUGAACAAAAGAAAAACCAAAAAAACAGGGCAAUCAGUUGAGCAUUGCUCUUAUGAAGCCUUUUACCGGAGCUACCACGAACAUGAGAAAUGGAGCAUGAAGAGCAGCACGCAACUGCAGGCCCAAACCUAGUGUACUGCAGCCAGCUUUUCCUGAGACUCCCUGAUUUUGCUUGUGGUCACUUGCUCUUGAGGCAGAGCAAGGUUUACAGGAAAUGGUAUUCUGGCCACAGGAGCAUGCUGCUUCCCAAAAGUCAGUGCUGAGCACCAGCGAAAAGUGGGGACAAGAAUAUCGUCCAAGAUCAGUUCCUAACAACAAAGGAAACAGAUCUUCUCUCUCAUGUCCGAAUGCCUCAGUACUAUAAAGCUCCUAUCGUUACCAUCAAGAAACCUGGAUGUGCAAGUGGAAUUCUAAACUGAACCAUAGGAGAAAAUGACCCUCUUAGAUUUGGUAAAAAUAUGGUUUCUUUCAAAGCUGGAAAGCAGAUUUGCAGAAAAGGACCUCAACCUUCAUACGGAUACCAAGCUGAACAUAAGCCAAAAACAUGCCCUGGGGACAAAGGAGGCCAACAAUAUCCCAGCUGCAUUAGAAGUGUUGCCAGCAGGUCUCAGGAGGUGAUCCUGCCCCUCUUCUCAGCACUAGUGAGGCCAGAUCUGGAGAGCUGUGUCCAGUGUUGGGCUCCCAAAUAAUGAAAAACAUGGAGACCUUGGAGUGGGUCCAGCAGAGUGCAACAAAAAUGAUUAAGGGACUGAAGCAUCUGUCAUAUGAGGGAAAGCUGAGGGAGCUGAGGCUGCUCAGCCUCAAGAAGAAAAGACUCCUGGGUAUCUUACCAGUGUAUACAAAUACCUGAAGGGAGGGUGCAAAGAGGAUGGAGACAGGCUCUUUUCAGAGGUGCCCAGUCAGAGGACCAGAGGCAAUGGGCACAAACUGAAACACAGGAGGUUCCAUUUGAACAUCAGCAACCACUUUUUCACUGUGAGGAUGCCUGAGCACUGGCCAGGUUGUCCAGAGAAGUUGUGGUGUCUCCAUACUUGGAGAGUUUCAAAAGAUAUCUGGACACAGUCCUGGGUGAUCUGCUUUAGGAGGCCCUUCCUUGAGCAGCAGGUGUGGACAAGAUGAACUCCAGAGGUGCCUUCCAAGCUCAAUUAUUCUUUUUUUUUUUUUUUAAUUUAAUAUCAUAUUUCAAAGCACAGCAAUUUCAAUAAAAUACAAUUUCAUAAAUAUAACCAAUAUGGGUUAAUUUAUGAGAAUUCAUGAUACUUCGAAGCAAGAGUUGUCACUGCGCACAACUGCUAUUUAAACACUUCUGACAAGGGGGAAAAAAAAAGGUGUUCUGAAAAAUCGUGACACACUCUGCUAUGAGAUUACACUAUCUUUGCUGGCAUGCAAGUAACAGCUCCAGGCUGAUCUGCAAAUGUGAAACGGUCAUGGAUCAAGGUUCUUUACCUUUGACUGGCACUUUACACACGUACUUUAACCCUUCCAACUUCUGGUGCAAUAUCCUUCUGUGUUUGUAGCCUUACCCAAAGAGCAUACAUGAAUCACACUUGGCUUUUUAUGGUUCUUAUUAUCCAAAAAGCUUGGCAGAAGAUUUUAUGAUUCUCAGCUAGAGAAGUGCUCAGGAGUACAUAAUACCAAACCAUUUAGCUAAAGUCUGUUUUACUUGCAGAUAGCCUUUUUUGAGUAUUGUCUCAAUUUAGAAAAACAAAAUAAUGUCACCGGUAUCACAUGAGUGUAUGGGUGCACCGCUGAUGUUAUAAACCCCUUGUUACUAAAGGUUUAGAGAAUGAGUGCCACCAGCACAAAACAUUAAUGACUUGGCUAAAGCAAAAGAGAUGCAAAUAUAACACAAGUACUAAAGAAGACAUAUUUUACAUCAAGAAAACAUAUGACAGCGCAUAUUUUUUAACAAAGAGGAAAUUGCUGUAAUAGCAGCUACAUGAGGCUCUGCCUAACGUGACUAUUACCUUUCUCCUCUCAAAAUUAUCCCAGCAAAUCAGAGUAUACACCAAACUCUUACACUGGUAGAACUCAAAACUUGGCAGAUUUUCUCCUUUAAAAAAAGAGGCAAAAGGUACUCUUCAGAGUAAACAGCAACCAUACAUGGCCACUAUGCCUAGGAAGUUUAUUUCUGUGAGGAGUUUAGCAAGCAAAGACAUGUAUUUCCAGGGAGAAUUACAUACAAGUGCUGUUACAUUUAGGAUAUUGGUACCUACACUGAUCUACUGAAGAGCUUUGGAUUUUGCCAAAAAACCUGAAUGAAGCACUACUGCUCAAACAAAAAAAAAACAACACAAAAACGAAAAUAACAACAACAACAACAAAAAAUCUUACAGGAACCUGAAGUACCAAGCAAAAUGGCUUGAAACCAAAAUCAUAAAAGGGAAAAGCUACAUGGGAAACUGUAUUACAUAAGGAGGGGAUAACUGGUAUCCUGAAAGAGGCCUGAAGUACAUGAUUACAAUUAUUAUUUAGCAGAAGAGGCUUAUUAAAUAAGGGAUUAGACAGUGUACCUACAAUUCAAAAGGGAAAAUGAGAUACAAAUGAACAAGUGUCCAGAACAGGAAACUGUCAAAACAGUAUUGCUCUCAUGAAGUAUUCUCUUGGACACAACAUCAGAAUUAAAAAAAAAAAUAAUUAAAAAAUAGGAAUGGAGUUCUAAUGCUCCUGUUUUAAUACAGACAAUUUAAGAUUUGUGACCAUGUAAAGUAAUCAAUGCUGCAAGGAAGAAUGGCUACUGCUGUAAGCACUUUUGCAAAGCACAAGAGCACAUGAAGAAUGGAGAAGCUGUUAAGAUGAUCUGAAAACCAUCAAAAUUACAUAAAAAGUAGGUAUUUGACAUUUCUGUGAACAACAUUUUAGCUCUGCUCCCCAGCAUCUUUUCUUGUUUAAUAAUUGUGGCUAGUUUCUGUUAGUUCUGUAUGUUAUCGAUGAGCGCGUGUUAAAUGAAGUAAUAUUUUAGCAGACUAAAGAUGACAACACAUAUUUGGAUUCCAUCUCUUUUAAAGAAACUGCAGUUUUCCUAAUAGAAUGGAUUCUGUAACACCAUCUGGUGUUACAGAAAAUGGCAUCUGAUAUAAAAUACAAAAUCAAAUAAAAAACCCAAACAAACUUAUUUUUCUUUCUACCCUUCCCCACAGAAGUUAAAAAGAAUCAAAGUAACAUUUAAAGAUUGGUCUACAGGUUUUGGACAUGUAUAGCAGAACUACAUAAAUAGCAUACUUCCCACAGCUGCUUGCUUUACAACAGAGGACUGCUGAUACGAAGGACUCCUGGAUUAAAUUCCAUCCAAUUUCAGACAGAUAACUUAUACAUAAUUUGAGUGGUCAGAUCCUGGUACUCCUGUGCCCCCCAAGUUUAAUGGGCUUCCUCCAGAAAACCCUGAUUUUGUCUCAUUUUUAAAAGCUGACAGCCAUAACUUUCUUACCAAGCUCUUGGAUACUGAUGCCAUGUAUUAAUUUUGAUUUGCUUACCAUGGAAACACAUAGACAAAGAUGAAAGAGCCCACAAAUAAAACAAGAGAAAGAGGUUAAAA